rnacentral:rRNA from 1 species
GACGGACGCUGGCGGCGUGCUUAACACAUGCAAGUCGAGCGGAAAGGCCACUUCGGUGGUACUCGAGCGGCGAACGGGUGAGUAACACGUGAGUAAUCUGCCCCUGGCUUUGGGAUAGCCACCGGAAACGGUGAUUAAUACCGGAUAUGACCACUUCACGCAUGUGAUGGUGGUGGAAAGUUUUUCGGCCAGGGAUGUGCUCGCGGCCUAUCAGCUUGAUGGUGAGGUAAUGGCUCACCAUGGCUUCGACGGGUAGCCGGCCUGAGAGGGUGACCGGUCACACUGGGACUGAGACACGGCCCAGACUCCUACGGGAGGCAGCAGUGGGGAAUAUUGGACAAUGGGCGGAAGCCUGAUCCAGCAACGCCGCGUGAGGGAUGACGGCCUUCGGGUUGUAAACCUCUUUCGCCUGUGACGAAGCGCAAGUGACGGUAACAGGUAAAGAAGCACCGGCCAACUACGUGCCAGCCGCCGCGGUAAGAC